rnacentral:rRNA from 1 species
AGUGAACGCUGGCGGCGUGCUUAACACAUGCAAGUCGAACGAGAACGGGUUAUAGCUUGCUAUAAUUGUCAGCUAAGUGGCGCACGGGUGAGUAAUGUAUAGGUAAUAUGCCUCUUACUAAGGGAUAACAAAUGGAAACGUUUGCUAAUACCUUAUACUCCUUAUUAACAUAAGUUAAUAAGGGAAAGAUUUAUUGGUAAGAGAUUAGCCUGUAUUGUAUCAGUUAGUUGGUGGGGUAAUGGCUUACCAAGACUAUGACACAUAACUGGUUUGAGAGGAUGAUCAGUCACACUGGAACUGAGACACGGUCCAGACUCCUACGGGAGGCAGCAGUAGGGAAUCUUCCACAAUGGACGAAAGUCUGAUGCAGCAACGCCGCGUGGAGGAUGACACAUUUCGGUGCGUAAACUCCUUUUAUAUGAGAAGAUAAUGACGGUAUUAUAUGAAUAAGCACCGGCUAACUCCGUGCCAGCCGCCGCCGUAA